GACGAACGCUGGCGGCGUGCUUAACACAUGCAAGUCGAGCGGAGCGGCGAACGGGUGAGUAACGCGUGAGUAACUGGCCUCCUUUUUGGGAUAAGCGUUGGCAACGGGGUGUAAUACCGAAUAGAGGGGGAUGGCUGGCGGCCUAUCAGCUUGUCGGUGGGGUGGGGGCAUACCAAGGCGGUGACGGGUAGCCGGCCUGGGCGGGUGACCGGCCACAUUGGGCUGAGAUACGGCCCAGACUCUUACGGGAGGCAGCGGUGGGAGAUAUUGCACAAUGAGCGAAAGCCUGAUGCAGCGACGCCGCGGUAAUAC
rnacentral:rRNA from 1 species